AGCCACAUUGGGACUGAGACACGGCCCAAACUCCUACGGGAGGCAGCAGUGGGGAAUAUUGGACAAUGGGGGCAACCCUGAUCCAGCAAUGCCAUGUGUGUGAAGAAGGCCCUAGGGUUGUAAAGCACUUUAGUUGGGGAGGAAAGCCUCAAGGUUAAUAGCCUUGGGGGAGGACGUUACCCAAAGAAUAAGCACCGGCUAACUCCGUGCCAGCAGCCGCGGUAAUACGGGGGGUGCAAGCGUUAAUCGGAAUUACUGGGCGUAAAGGGUCUGUAGGUGGUUUGUUAAGUCAGAUGUGAAAGCCCAGGGCUCAACCUUGGAACUGCAUUUGAUACUGGCAAACUAGAGUACGGUAGAGGAAUGGGGAAUUUCUGGUGUAGCGGUGAAAUGCGUAGAGAUCAGAAGGAACACCAAUGGCGAAGGCAACAUUCUGGACCGAUACUGACACUGAGGGACGAAAGCGUGGGGAUCAAACAGGAUUAGAUACCCUGGUAGUCCACGCUGUAAACGAUGAGUACUAGCUGUUGGAGUCGGUGUAAAGGCUCUAGUGGCGCAGCUAACGCGAUAAGUACUCCGCCUGGGGACUACGGCCGCAAGGCUAAAACUCAAAGGAAUUGACGGGGACCCGCACAAGCGGUGGAGCAUGUGGUUUAAUUCGAUGCAACGCGAAGAACCUUACCUGGUCUUGACAUCCUGCGAACUUUCUAGAGAUAGAUUGGUGCCUUCGGGAACGCAGUGACAGGUGCUGCACGGCUGUCGUCAGCUCGUGUUGUGAAAUGUUGGGUUAAGUCCCGCAACGAGCGCAACCCCUAUUGAUAGUUACCAUCAUUAAGUUGGGUACUCUAUUAAGACUGCCGCUGACAAGGCGGAGGAAGGUGGGGACGACGUCAAGUCAUCAUGGCCCUUACGACCAGGGCUACACACGUGCUACAAUGGGUAUUACAGAGGGCUGCGAAGGUGCGAGCUGGAGCGAAACUCAAAAAGGUACUCUUAGUCCGGAUUGCAGUCUGCAACUCGACUGCAUGAAGUCGGAAUCGCUAGUAAUCGCAGGUCAGAAUACUGCGGUGAAUACGUUCCCGGGUCUUGUACACACCGCCCGUCACACCAUGGGAGUGGGUUGCUCCAGAAGUAGAUAGCUUAACGAAUGGGCGUUUACCACGGAGUGAUUCAUGACUGGGGUGAAGUCGUAACAAGGUAGCCGUAGGGGAACCUGCGGCUGGAUCACCUCCUUAA
rnacentral:rRNA from 1 species